GCCAAGUGAUGAGUCCAAGGCGAAUGUGACUCCCUUUCCUCUGGGUCCAAACCCUGGCCUUUGCUCUCGGUCUGUAAUCUUGGUGGCUGUGCAAGAGUUUCUCACUGCUGCUGUAAGGCCAGACCAACAGCAGCAUCUCAAGCUGGUCUUCUCCGUGCAUUUAAUUUGCCCACUGAAGUAUGAGUGUGAGCAGAUGUCGGGUGACCUACAGGAUGGAUAGGUAACAUGAGAGCGGGCUAGGGAUUGUGGCUCUUAAUGGAGGCUAAAGGGAGAUGUGAGCACAUAUCUUUGGUAAUCUGAUGGCA